GAAGUAGCUCAGUGGUAGAGCAUCUGCUUUUGCAUGUAGAAGGGCCCGGAUUCAAUCUCCAGGUAGGACUG